ACAACGAAGAGUUUGAUCCUGGCUCAGGAUGAACGCUAGCGACAGGCUUAACACAUGCAAGUCGAGGGGCAGCAGGGGAGGAGCAAUCCUCCCGCUGGCGACCGGCGCACGGGUGAGUAACACGUAUGCAACCUGCCCUUGUCAGGGGGAUAAGCGGGAGAAAUUCCGUCUAAUACCGCAUAACACGUCCGGAGGACAUCCUCCGGACGUCAAAGAGAAAAUCGGACAAGGAUGGGCAUGCGUCGCAUUAGUUAGUUGGCGGUGUAACGGACCACCAAGACGACGAUGCGUAGGGGUUCUGAGA
rnacentral:rRNA from 1 species